GACGAACGCUGGCGGCGUGCUUAACACAUGCAAGUCGAACGGAAAGGCCCUGCUUUUGUGGGGUUCUCGAGGGGCGAACGGGUGAGGAACACGUGAGUAACCUGCCCUUGACUUUGGGAUAACUUCAGGAAACUGGGGCUAAUACCGGAUAGGAGCUCCUGCUGCAUUGUGGGGGUGGGAAAGUUUCGGCGGUUGGGGAUGGACUCGCGGCUUAUCAGCUUGUUGGUGGGGUAGUGGCUUACCAAGGCUUUGACGGGUAGCCGGCCUGAGAGGGUGACCGGCCACAUUGGGACUGAGAUACGGACCAGACGCCUACGGGAGGCAGCAGUGGGGAAUAUUGCACAAUGGGCGGAAGCCUGAUGCAGCAACGCCGCGUGCGGGAUGACGGCCUUCGGGUUGUGAACCGCUUUAGCCUGUGACGAAGCGUGAGUGACGGUAAUGGGUAAAGAAGCACCGGCUAACUACGUG
rnacentral:rRNA from 1 species